GAUGAACUCAAUUGUCUGCCCAGUUGUGGG
rnacentral:piRNA from 1 species